CAGAAAGAAAUAUUGCCAUAACUGCAAAAAUUACUGCAUCUAAUAAUUUGAUUUUCUUUGCAAUCAAUGAAGUAAUUUAUUUUGGUUUUGUACCAUGUUUGUGAGUACGUGUGUGUGUGUGUUACUUGAGCUUAAAGUUUCUUCUGUCAAAAGCAGUAAAUUCAUUCAUCUCUUUCAACAAAAAUUAAGAGACUGCCUACUGUGUGCUGGCUAUCUGGCGAGGUGCUGGCUAACACAGAGUCCCUCGCAGGUGAAACAGAAAGUCACAAUAAAUGAUUAUAAUAUAUUGUGACAAAUGCCACCACAGUGUCUCAUUUUUGUGGUUCCAGGAAAGGGGAGCAUUUAUGGGAGACAUUCAGAAGGGGAUUUCCCCUUGUCCCUUCUCCCUGUCAGACAGGGACAUGGCCUUUGAAGGGUCUCCGGUUAUGGGAAGACAGAACUAUCCAGAAAGCAGCGUGCUAAAGCCUCAGGCAGCUGGGGUGGAGGGAGGUCAUUCAGGGUUGGUGUUCUGUUGCCAUUCUUUAAAGAACUUUCAGAAGAUUCUCUACAACCAGGGAGAUGUGUGCCAUAAAUACAAGGCAAUAUUUUUGGUUUUUGGUUUUUGUUUUCUCUGCACAGAUGCAGAGAUACAGCAGGGACGGAUGACUGUCUGUGAUGUCACCAAGCGUGUGACAUCAAAGACAGACCCUCCAUGUAGCAGCCAUGCACUGGUUUGCCCAGCAGUUCCAAACACGGGAUGUUUGCUUCCUUGUUCUGGGAGCCGAACUCCUCUGGAAUUGAAGGUUCCAUAGACCCAUACGAGUAUCACGCACAUACCUCUACAAGGUGACCCGGCCCUAGCUGAAUGUCACCAAACAGUGCCUUCUUUGAAAACAGCCUCAUUAUCUGGUAUAUCAGUGAAUCAAAUGGAUUCAAUCCCACCUCCCCCAACACCCAGCACACACACACAAACACACACACUCUCUCUGCAGAUAAAUUCUCACAGCAACUAUUCUUCUAAGUUUUUGGUAUAGUCCCAAUUCGAAAUAAUCUCCAUUUUCAGACUUUGUGUGUCUGGUUUGGCACAUACAAAUACAUAAUUUCCACAUGGAUAUUAAACUUCAGUGUUUUCUUUUUUUUCCGAGCACAUUAAAGAAUUUUUAAGUGGCAUUUCUUUACUGUCCCAGUAGCCCAGGUUUUCUCUCCGUCCUUGGUGGCCUCUUCCCCACGCUCAGCUGUUGACUUUGCUCUUCCCUUAUGACCUGUCUCUUCAGGUUUCUGGUGUUUUCCCCCUUGAUGUCACCAUGUGACUCUAGAGACAGAGUAGUGUCAGGGUGGGCGGAGUCAGGACUGUGACAAGACCAUGUCCUGGAGUGGGCGGAGUCAGGACUGUGACAGGACGAUGUCCUGGAGGGGUGGGUGGAGUCAGGACUGUGACAGGACUGUGUCCUGGAGGGGUGGGCGGAGUCAGGACUGUGACAGGACGAUGUCCUGGAGGGGUGGGCGGAGUCAGGACUGUGACAGGACAAUGUCCUGGAGGGGUGGGCAGAGUCAGGAGUGUGACAGGACAAUGUCUUGGAGGGGUGGGCGGAGUCAGGACUGUGACAGGACGAUGCCCUGGAGGGGUGGGCGGAGUCAGGACUGUGACAGGACGAUGCCCUGGAGGGGUGGGCGGAGUCAGGACUGUGACAGGACGAUGCCCUGGAGGAGUGGGCGGAGUCAGGACUGUGACAGGACCAUGUCCUGGAGGGGUGGGCGGAGUCAGGGCUGUGACAGGACGAUGUCCUGGAGGAGUGGGCGAAGUCAGGACUGUGACAGGACGAUGCCCCGGAGGUCAUCUCAGUUCCGGAGCUCGUCUCCAAGUCCUGCUCACGAGUGGACGUCAUGAGUAGCCAGACUUCCGCAGGGAUGUUGCUUAGUCCAUCACAAGUUCAGCUCUACUGACCGGGGACUGGAAACUGCACAAGAAAUGGAAAUGCACACUGACUUCCUCUGUUGUCCUCAUCUUCCCAUCCCUGCUUGCUCCCAGCCACUACUCUAGCUACGGGGGAACAUCUGUUUCCAGAUUUCUCCUGAGUUCAUUUCCUCCAUAAAUCACUCAUGCAAGGAUCUCUGUCUUGGGCUUUGCUUCUGCAGAUACUGACCUAAGAUAGAAGAGGAAGAAAAUCCUGGAGCCACUGACAGAAAAGGGAAAAACAACCGUGCUCGGAGGCCAAGCUGGAGGAGGUGCCGAGACAAGCGCUGGAUGAUCAAGCCGUCUGAGAGCUGCUGGAAUUCGAGUCUUCAUCUGGAACAGCUGAACCUGUGGUGACCAUACUGCGUGAACCCCAAAUUGGUCACAUUAUCUAAUAUGUGGGGGGUAUGCAACAGGGUAGAUUACUUAAAAUCAGAGAACUGUCCUCGAAAUUCUGGGACAUAUGGUUGUCCUGGCUAUGGGGCACAUUGCUUCAGAAAGGAGGAAAAAUUCUGAAAGGCAAACUAAGGAACACUGUCUGAAGUGUU